rnacentral:rRNA from 1 species
UAGUAACUGCGAGUGAAGAGGGAAAAGCUCAAAUUUAAAAUCUGGCGGGCUCUGUCCGUCCGAGUUGUAAUCUGGAGAAGCGUUUUCCGCGUCGGACCGUGCAUAAGUCUCCUGGAACGGAGCGUCAUAGAGGGUGAGAAUCCCGUCCAUGGCACGGACCGCCGAUGCUUUGUGAUACGUUUUCAAAGAGUCGAGUUGUUUGGGAAUGCAGCUCAAAAUGGGUGGUAAAUUCCAUCUAAAGCUAAAUAUUGGCGAGAGACCGAUAGCGAACAAGUACCGUGAGGGAAAGAUGAAAAGCACUUUGGAAAGAGAGUUAAACAGUACGUGAAAUUGUUGAAAGGGAAACGCUUGAAGUCAGUCGCGUCCGACGGAACUCAGCCUUGCUUCGGCCUGGUGUACUUUCUGUCGGACGGGUCAACAUCAGUUUUGACCGGUGGAGAAAGGUAGGGGGAAUGUAGCGCUGUUUCGGCGGCGUGUUAUAGCCCCUUGCUGUAUGCAUCGGUUGGGACUGAGGACCGCAGCACGCCUUUUUGGCCGGGGGUUCGCCCCACGUACCGUGCUUAGGAUGUUGGCAUAAUGGCUUUAAGCGACCCGUCUUGAAACACGGACCAAGGAGUCCAACAUGCUUGCGAGUGUUCGGGUGGAAAACCCUUGCGCAUAAUGAAAGUAACAGUUGGGAACCUCCGCAAGGGGGUGCACCGACGCCCGGCCCUGAAGUUCUCUGACGGUGCUGCGGUAGAGCAAGUAUGCUGGGACCCGAAAGAUGGUGAACUAUGCCUGAAUAGGGCGAAGCCAGAGGAAACUCUGGUGGAGGCUCGUAGCGAUUCUGACGUGCAAAUCGAUCGUC